UCUGAGACAUCUUGGGGGCCUGUGAGAGGGUAGGCCUUGCUAGGGUAUGGUUGUGCCCUGCCCCCAGCAGCCCCCAGUCCCGCAGUGUCUGUCAAUCAGAACACACUAGAAGCAGCCCCAGUGUUGCCUAACCCAGUCCCUGAGUGGCCAGGUGAGCAGAAAUCCCACCAGGGAGGAAGGCCCAGGAUGGGCCAUAAAGGUUUAAGAAGGGUCACCACGAGUCAUCUUGGGAAGCAGUUUGGAGCUGAAAUGAAUGCAGGAAGCUCACUGAUGUGUUUUAGCCCCAGGGGAUUUUCUGAUCCUGUUCAUUGUACAUCCAACACUUCUAAUAGCACAAAGGGAGAACUUUAGUUGUAGCUGUUUAAACACAGAGGAGCAAAGAAAAUUAAGACUCUGUGAAUAAUACGGAUCAAAUCCAGAGACGUUUGAAAAAUACCCCAAAACUUGAUUGAAACCAAAUGAGAAAGCACUUUGGGAAAUGUGCAGCAGACAUGAACACUAAAAGCAAGUUAUUUAAUGUGUGCACGGACACCACAUGAUCAGAGUGCUGACUGGUCAAGAGGACGUGUGGACAGCAACACAGCAGGUGACAUGCUGCCAAUAGAGGGCUUGUUUUAGUUCACAAGAAUGUUAACAAGUAUAAUUAU